UGAGCAUGUGGCUCAGUUGGUAGAGUACUUGCCUAGCAUGCAUGAAGCCCUGGGUUCAAGCCCCAGCAUGACAA